rnacentral:rRNA from 1 species
UCCUACGGGAGGCAGCAGUAGGGAAUAUUGCACAAUGGGGGGAACCCUGAUGCAGCAACGCCACGUGUGGGAAGAAGCAUUUCGGUGUGUAAACCACUGUCAUGAGGGAAUAAGGCCCGCCUUCGGACGGGAUUGAAUGUACCUUGAGAGGAAGCACCGGCAAACUUCGUGCCAGCAGCCGCGGUAAUACGAGGGGUGCAAGCGUUGUUCGGAAUUACUGGGCGUAAAGGGAGCGUAGGCGGAGAUUCAAGCGGAUUGUACAAUCCCGGGGCCCAACCCCGGCUCUGCAGUCCGAACUGGAUCUCUUGGAUAGUUCAGGGGCAGGCGGAAUUCCUGGUGUAGCGGUGGAAUGCGUAGAGAUCAGGAAGAACACCGAUGGCGAAGGCAGCCUGCUGGGGACUCAUCGACGCUGAGGCUCGAAAGUGCGGGUAGCAAACAGGAUUAGAUACCCUGGUAGUCC